AGAUCCACAACUUCAUUCACCAUCCGCACUAUAAAUACUGGUCAAGGUCCCCGCAGUAUCACCCAUCCCAGUAAUCUGAUUUCGAUCUAUUUGUCUGCAAAUCUUCCCAUUUGUUAUAUCACCAAAGGAAAACGAAAAAUGUCUGGCUGUGGUGGAAACUGUGGCUGUGGUUCUAGCUGCAAGUGCGGCGGCGGCUGCGGCGGGUACGUUACGCUUUCCAUUCUUCCAAUCCCUUUUAUUUAAUUAAAUUCAUCCCACAAACUGUAGUCUUUUUUUUUUUUUAAUUCGUUUUUUGGACAUGCAGUAGCUCCAUGUACCCUGACUUGAGAUCCUUUGAGAGCACCACCGUAGCCACCGAGACCCUCGUCCUCGGUGUUGCUCCUGUCAAGAUGUACGUAAAUGUGCAGUCGUUACAGAACUGUGUUUUAAAUUAUUGAUUUUUAUUUAACAGAUUUAAAUCAAUCUGACGUUACAUUAGCCUGCAUGGAAAAGGAAUCCAAACGGUGUCAUUAUUUGUGUUUUUAUAUAAAUUCAGGGACCCAAAUGAUGGAUAGGUUUGGACUGUAUUUGAUUUUUUUUUAAAUUUUUUUUCCCUCCUUGGGAUCAGGCACUCUGAGGGGUCCGAGAUGGGAUUCGGAGCCGAGGGCGGCUGCGGCUGCAAGUGUGGACCAAACUGCAAGUGCGACCCUUGUAACUGUUAAUGAAGACUACGAGACGUGAACAUGCCCCAGAAUAAAGCAGCGCUGUGAGGUCGUUUAAAUUAUAGUAUCAAUAAAAAGAACUAUUUAUCGUUUGUGGUUGGCUUUGUUGGAUGUCUUUUUAUGAGCUUUUGUUUGUAAAAUAAAACCAGCCAUGGCUGCUUCUCCGAAUCCUUAACUGGGUCUGUUGCAGAUCCAUGGCUAGUUAAUUAAUCAUUAAGUGUCUCUGUGACUUUGUGUACGAGCGUAUCUGUUACCGCUGCUUUUCUAAUGGGAAGCUUCCUCUCAGACUUUUAUCUAUAUUGUAAAAUGUGUUUGGUUUAUGUACUGUAUAAUAAAUUUACAACGUUGAUUUCGGUUUGGAUUUGGAUUUUUGUUGGAGGGUAGGUGAGAAAUAUCGGCAAGACUUAUCUUCUUGGGAUUUGUGUGUCAGCAGAUAUUAAUAAUAAUUUAUUGUGUAUAUGAUGCCAAGUGUUUGUUCGUCUUCCUACUUCUCCAAACUUUCAAGAAUAAAAUUUCAUAUUGGGGACAUAUUUGCCUUUGCCAUUAUGGCCAUUGAGGACUUUUGGCAACGAAUAAUUUAUUAGACUUGUGACUGACAGCUGAGCGCCGACCUGACAAGUUAAUAUGGUAAUGGAAAGGUCCAUUAUUUUCAACUAAUCAUAGAGCCCUGAUUAGGCAAUAAAUUACUUACCUAUCUAUUUCUUGGCCCUCCGGGUAAGGGGUGGCAGCAUGAUCUCUAUUCAGCCAGGUAGAUUAUGUGGCCUCGAACAGAUUGCUUGAAUGGAGAUCUUAACUGAGGAUGUGCUGAAGUACUGUAAUUUGUGAACAAAGAAUUUUUUUUUUUUCUUCCUCCCCCGAAAUUUUGUAAACAAAGAUGUUAGAUGUAAGCGAAUUCGAUUUUUAAAGUUCCAUUCUUCAGCGGUAGCGAUACUUGUAAAUUGUUGGAGCUGUGAUUACGAUUCUUGUAAAUAGGCCAUUGUUUUGUCGUCUUAUUGGGCAUCUGAAUUCUUUUGACUGGGUUCCCUAUGGAGACGGUGGAACCCAUUCCAUUAAAGUGACAGCCCACCAAAUCGAUUAUUAUUAUUAUUUUUAAUUUGUUCGACAUACUGUUUGAUAUUGAAAUUAAGUAAUUAUAACUUAUUGUUCAUAAUUUACAAUACUAAAAUUUUUAAUAAAUAUUAAUUAUUAUAAUUUGAAAAUUAAGUUGAUUGAAUAUGUUAUUUAUAUAAUAAAAUUUAAUAAUAUUUUUUGUUUAGGGGGAAAUUUAGGUGUUAACUUGGGUCAAUAACUCAGUGAAAGUAAAUUAAGGGAAGUCAAUUUGUUUCAUUGGGCGUUAUGAUAGCUGGUAGAGAGACAGUGGAUAAAGCUCUUAGAAAAAAAAAAAUAAUUUCGAUAAAAUAUACAAUAUCAAAGGGUAUUAUUGAAGGUUAUAUUUUUUGGUGGUUAAGACGAGCACGUGAACAGCGCACGUGACCUUUUGAUACCACUAGAAAAGCAACACGACCACAGGGCUGGGAGGCUACCACAUGUCCAACUGUGGAGGUAAAACGGUGGCUGAAGAUUUUUUUAUCUCCUGAAUUCAUAGAUGUCACUAUCAAUGGACUAUAAGGUAAAAUACUCAAAUAACCUUGCCUGAAGGAUGUUAGCCAUUAAAUGAGCGUCAUGUGUUCAAAAUGGCCAAAAUACUCUUGGGAACACUUCUAUAUAAGCUCCAUAUGUUCAAUCUUGAAAAGGCUCUCUCCUUUUGCUCCAUCCAACUCUAAGUUUGCUUCUUCUUUUUUCUUUCGGAUUUGAUUUCUUGAGAGACUGCUUCAUUUUCUUCCCCCCAAUUUUUACACCUCCAUCGAAGAUCUUGGCUGUCCAUCUCUUAAAGGAGCAUUUCUUUUGUUUUUUUUCUUAGAAAAUUCUCUAAUUUUCAUAAAAUUCACAUCUCUCUCAUGCUUGUUCACCAUAAAUAACCUUUAUUGAGGUUUUGUUGAUACUAUAGAGCAAAUUAUAUAAUACUUCAUUUAUAUAGCGGAUUAAAGAUAAGUUACUUUUGUGGAUAUAGGCUAAAGGGCCGAACCACAUAAAAUCUUGCGUGUUUUUUAUUUUUUAUGCUAACUUUCUACUUGUUAUGAUGGUUUUGAUCCAUAUUGUAUUUCAUAUAUGAGUUCACAUUAUUUAUCUUACAAGCUCUAGGGAGUUAAUCGGAUGGAGUUAAUUGGAUAACUUCUUUAGAGUUAUCCUCAAAGCUCUUUUGAGCUCCCUAUGUCAACUUCCUCAAUUAACUCCUACAAGCUUUGCCAUAUAUUCCAAACUUAAAACACCACAACUCACCUCCUAGAUCACAUUAACUAUACCUUAUGUUCCAAACAUUAGAAAAUUAAGGUUGGCAAAAGAGCCUAAGUUGGCCCAAGCCCGUAGCUUGACGCCUAGCCCACAUAGGUUGGGCCUGGUUAUGGGCAAAAAAUAUCAAGCCCGCAUAAAUUUGGCUUGUUUAAGGGCCUACGAAAAAAGAGCAUGAGCUUUUUAAUUCAUAAAGAAAAAAUAAAUCAAAUUUAGAAAACGAAAAAAACUCAAAAUAUUAAAUUAUUUUUUUAUAUUAGUAUUUAUGAUUUAUUAUGUUAUGUUACUAAUAUUUUGUAUAUUAGACUAUUAUUCUAUUAUGUAUUAGAUAAUUAUCUUUAAUUUAAAAUUUUGACUUUAUUAAACAUUUAUUUCAUAAUUAAUAGAAAAGUCCAGACCCGACCCAAGCCCACAAUUUGCGAACCCUAUCAGAAAAUACACCUACACCCAAAAUUAGCCUAAUUUCCUAUUAAACUAUAAAUUUGAUUUGUUUUAAUCAUAUUUGACAUGGAUCUAGUGAGAAUAACCACUUAAUGCUUUGGAUUAGGGGUUGCAAAAACGAAUAAACGAAUAAACAAAUCAAAUUCGAAUCGAAUCGUAAACGAAUUGGGUCAAAAUUCUACUAAUUCGGAUUCGAUUUGUUUAUUAAACAAAUAGAAAUCUUAGGAUUCAAAUUUGAUUCGUUUAUUAAAUGAAUAUUCGUUUCAAUUCAUUUAAUUCGUUUAGUAUAAUUAAUGAAUGAAUCGAAUCGAAUCCGGAUUCGUUUACAAUUCAUUUAGAAAAAUAUAAUUAAUAAACAAAAUUAAGCAAAAUAAAAUAUAAAAAAACCACAAAUUUAAUAUCCUACAACAAAAUAUAAAUAAUCCAAACCAUAUUGUAGGAUUAAAUACAUAGUCAUCCAAAUACCAAAUUAUAAAUCCCUAAUAAUACAAAUAACAAUAAUUAAAAUUAAAAUUAUAAAGUAAGGUAAUUUCUUUAAUUCUCUCCAUUUUGUCUUUGUCACCUUGAAAACAAAAUCCUAAACCAAAAAGUAAAUAAAAUAUUAUUAACAUGUUGUAAUUUUGAUAAUAGUCAUUGUAAAAUUUCAAAAUAUUAAAUAUAUAAUAAAUUUGUAGUACUAUUAAGAAAAUAAUAAUUAAAUCUAUAAAGCCGAAAAAAAUAGACAAGAUAAAACUACAAAGCCGAAAAAAAAAGGCAACAUUUUAAGUACUCAUGAUGCAUAAUAUGCUUCCAGGUUUGGCCAACUGUUACUUGGGUGAAUUUCCAGCACGUCCCUCAUUUAUUAUAUGAGCAAGAAAUGAAAAAUUAGCAUUGAUGGCUACUAAUUAGUGGAUCCUCAAAAGACAAAUCCAAAUCAAGAUGAAUAAAAGACAAACCCAAGCCAAAACGUAGCACUUGUUAGAUGCAAAAAUAAUAAAAAAGAGAAAAAGAAGUGGAGCUUACUGUGAUUUAUGCAAGAUGAUGACUGCUGCUAGACUGCUGGUUGAGAAAUUGUGAAAUCGUGGCUGAGUUGCUAAGAGAUGAAGGGAAAGAAAGUGUGAAAUGUGAGAUUAGGGCCGGCUGCUCUAAUUGCUAUUUCAGUAUUUCACUUUGCUUUAGCCAUGCUUAAAAUUAUAAUAUUAACCUCCCAAUUUUAAAAAGUUUUCAAAUAAAUUUAAGGGUAAAAAAAUAAUUUAAUUAAAUGAACAAUAAACGAAUUGACUUAUAUUUGAUUAAUUUAUGACCCGUUUAUUAAACAAAUCCUAAAC
rnacentral:lncRNA from 1 species